rfam:Xenopus tropicalis strain Nigerian Chr06_contig_3189, whole genome shotgun sequence.
GGCUCUGUGGCGCAUUGGAUAGCGCAUUGGAUAAUUUAAGGUAUUCAAAGGUUGUGGGUUCGAGUCCCACCAGAGUUG